GUCACAAGGAAGGACUGCUUUGCUGAAGCCACUCACUCCGGGAGAUUUAUAAUUGGAAGUUUGGCCCAGGGAGAUAAUCAGCCAAGAGCGCGCACGCACACACACACACACACACACACACACACACACACACACACUCUGAAGAAACCCAGUGGAGAUUCAGCACUAACCCACCACACACACACACACACACACACACACACACACACACACUCUCUGAAGAAACCCAGUGGAGAUUCAGCACUAACCCAGCACAGCGAUAGAAGAGGAGAAGAGACAUACAGAGGACAAGGCCAUGUCACAACAAGUGGAGACUGGAAUUAUGCAGCCACAAGCCAAGGAACCUCUGGAACCACCAGAAGCUGGAAAUGGCAGAGCCAGACCUUGAUUUCAUGCGAGAAGGUGGAGUAGGAGGAAGAGAAGGAGGAGAGUUAGAAGGAGUAGGAGGAGGAGGAAAACCUCCUGGCUCGUCUGAGUAUAUUCCUAGGUGAUGGCAGAGGGGCAAGAAAGCAAGCAAAAAGAAGCACAGAAGCCCUCUCAUGGCCAAAACUGGCUUGGUGUCACUUUUACCUCAUUCUAUUGGUCAAAAAAAGUCAACAGGCUGAGCCCAGAGUCAGAGUGGGAGAGUACUGCAUGGUUACAUGACAGAGGAUGUGGAUAUGAGGAAUCGUGAAGAACUGCAUCCAUUAGAGCCAUCUGUCACAGAAGGGACUAUUGUCAUUUUACUAAUUUUGUACAUGAGGAUAGGGAAGCAUGGAGAUGGUAACAUGCCUAAAGUCACAUAGCUUCUUAGCUGUGGAACCAGAAAGUAAACCUGGGCCUUCUGGGCCCAGGGCCCGUGGCUGUUAAAACCACUGUGCACACUGCCUUACUCCUACCCUUCACAAUCAGGUUUCUGCUCUGACCACCCUAGAAAACAUGCCCGUCUCAGGUUACCGAUGCUCUCCUAUGGACAGAUCCAAUAGCCUUUGUUAAUUGUCCACAUCUCUAUCCAUUCUGUAAUACUCCUGCAUGCUGCAUCCUUGGAGUUCUUUUCUCCUUUGAUUCUGCAGAACCUGUACUGUUUUGUUUCUCUUUCUGGCUUCCUCUGUCUGUCUCUCUUCACCAACUACAUAAUGCAUUCACUUCUUUUUCUUGGCAUCUCCCUUUCCAAGCACACCCACUCUCCUGGUUUCCAUUAUCUCCCUGCAGACAACUCUCAACUGGCUCUAAGAAAGCUCACUAUAAUUUUCAGCAACCUAAUUCAGUCGUUUGUCCGUCACAAAUAACAGCUCAGGAAAAUCAAAGGAUUUUCUCACUAGCAUCUUAUCAUUCCAUGUCACCUAGCAACUAUCCCAGUGCUUGAUAUUCUGCUACUAGAAACUCCCUACUACACAGAUAAUACCACUGGAAGGUAUAAAGCCACUUGACUGACCUCUCUCCAUUCACAGCAUUUAUAACUGUAAGAAAUUGCCAGUGGUUGACUCUUUCCGACCUUCGAAAGUGGCAAUUUCAUGUGGUUCAGCUUAAUAGUAUUUAUUACCUUGUGCUGUAAUAAUUUUGUAUCUGUAUCUCCCAUGAGACUCAAAGCUGCUUGAUUGAGGAGAUCAUGCUUGCUUCUGCUUUUCAUCAAGUUGCCUAGUACAUGACACUCUGUAAGGAUUAGACCAAGUAGGUAUUGAAUAAUUGUUUGGCGAAUUUAAAAAAUUAAAGAAACAUUUGAAAUCAAUGCACCAGAGGCUAGAGACAGAGUGCUAGGAAGGGAACAGGAUGGGGACAGGGACACCAGAGCAAAGAUAGAGUCAAAGACACAUUUCCAAAAUGGCAAUUCAUGCCUUGUGUCAGUUGUACCCACCUCACAUUCUUUAACACUUAAGGUUUUUCUGGGUAGUAAGUGCAAUACAUUCUUAUUAUAAAACAAUAUAGACAGUUCAGUAUGUAUAAAUGAGGAUAAAAUCAAAAUCACCCACAAUCUCACCACUUUGUGAUAAUAACCAUUAACUUCAAUAUUGAUGAAUUUCCUUGAAUGUUUUAUCUACAAUAUUUCUUUCAUAUAGUUGAUAUCACUCUGUAUGCACAAACUUGUAUCCUUUUUCUAAAUCUUAAUAUCAUAAUAUUAGCAUUUUCUAAUGUUAGUAGAUGUACUUCUUAAAUAUUGCUUUUUAAUGAUAAAGGUUUUUUUUUUUUU
rnacentral:lncRNA from 10 species